UACAGAGGUCUCAAGCGUUGUUCGGAAUUACUGGGCGUAAAGGGCGCGCAGGCGGUCCUUCAAGUCAGAUGUGAAAGCCCCGGGCUCAACCUGGGAACAGCAUUUGAGACUGGAGGACUUGAGGACGGGAGAGGAGAGUGGAAUUCCCAGUGUAGAGGUGAAAUUCGUAGAUAUUGGGAAGAACACCAAUGGCGAAGGCAGCUCUCUGGACCGUUACUGACGCUGAGGCGCGAAAGCGUGGGGAGCAAACAGG
rnacentral:rRNA from 1 species